rnacentral:rRNA from 1 species
AUGCACGCUAGCGAUAGGCUUAACACAUGCAAGUCGAGGGGCAGCACAAGGUAGCUUGCUCUCUGGGUGGCGACCGGCGCACGGGUGCGUAACGCGUAUGCAACUUGCCCUAUACAGGAGGAUAACCCGUCGAAAGACGGACUAAUACUGCGUAUGCUCACAACUUGGCAUCAAGUGGUGAGGAAAGAAAUUCGGUAUAGGAUAGGCAUGCGUCCCAUUAGCUUGUUGGUGAGGUAACGGCUCACCAAGGCAACGAUGGGUAGGGGAACUGAGAGGUUUAUCCCCCACACUGGUACUGAGACACGGACCAGACUCCUACGGGAGGCAGCAGUGAGGAAUAUUGGGCAAUGGGCGCGAGCCUGAACCAGCCAAGUCGCGUGAAGGAUGACUGUCUUAUGGAUUGUAAACUUCUUUUAUACGGGAAUAACAAGAGUCACGGGUGACUCCCUGCAUGUACCGUAUGAAUAAGCAUCGGCUAACUCCGUG